CCUACGGGAGGCUGCAGUGGGGAAUAUUGCACAAUGGGCGCAAGCCUGAUGCAGCCAUGCCGCGUGUGUGAAGAAGGCCUUCGGGUUGUAAAGCACUUUCAGCGGGGAGGAAGGCGGUGAGGUUAAUAACCUCAUCGAUUGACGUUACCCGCCGAAGAAGCACCGGCUAACUCCGUGCCAGCAGCCGCGGUAAUACGGAGGGUGCAAGCGUUAAUCGGAAUUACUGGGCGUAAAGCGCACGCAGGCGGUCUGUCAAGUCGGAUGUGAAAUCCCCGGGCUCAACCUGGGAACUGCAUUCGAAACUGGCAGGCUAGAGUCUUGUAGAGGGGGGUAGAAUUCCAGGUGUAGCGGUGAAAUGCGUAGAGAUCUGGAGGAAUACCGGUGGCGAAGGCGGCCCCCUGGACAAAGACUGACGCUCAGGUGCGAAAGCGUGGGGAGCAAACAGGAUUAGAUACCCGGGUAGUC
rnacentral:rRNA from 1 species